GUAGGUGGCGAGCGUUAUCCGGAUUUACUGGGGGGGCGUAAAGCGCGUGCAGGGCGGGUUCCGUAAGUCGGACGUGAAAGCUCCUGGCUUAACUGGGAGAGGCCCGUUCGAUACUGCGGGACUUGAGGUCGGGGAGGGACGUGGAAUUUCCGGUGUAGUGGUGGAAUGCGUAGAUAUCGGAAGGAACACCAGUGGCGAAGGCGGCGUCCUGGCCCGCACCUGACGCUAAGACGCGAAAGCGUGGGUAGCGAACGGGAUUAGAUACCCCGGUAGUCCACGCCGUAAACGGUGGAUACUAGGUGUUGGUGGCUAUCGUCAUCAGUGCCGUAGCUAACGCGUUAAGUAUCCCGCCUGGGGACUACGGCCGCAAGGCUA
rnacentral:rRNA from 1 species